UACAGAGGGGGCAAGCGUUGUCCGGAAUUAUUGGGCGUAAAGAGCUCGUAGGCGGUCUGUUGCGUCGGCUGUGAAAACCCGGGGCUCAACCCCGGGCCUGCAGCCGAUACGGGCAGACUAGAGUUCGGCAGGGGAGACUGGAAUUCCUGGUGUAGCGGUGAAAUGCGCAGAUAUCAGGAGGAACACCGGUGGCGAAGGCGGGUCUCUGGGCCGAUACUGACGCUGAGGAGCGAAAGCGUGGGGAGCGAACAGG
rnacentral:rRNA from 1 species